AUGGUUCCCGGGGGAGUGUGUCACACAGAGCAAAAUUAACAACACAACGGAAGAGGCGCACCCCCCGAGAGGAGCAUCACCGCCUGAUAAACCUCCCCGCUCGAGGAAUUACCAGGUCCGCCAGUAAGGAAGAGCGUCACAGUUAGAGCUGUUUCUAGAGUCUAUGCGGUCGGGGGCGCAGGGCCUGUUUGUGGGGGGAGAGAGGUUUGUGUGGGAUUCCUCUUUCGUACGAGACCCCUGCCUGUUAUAUAGCCCGCGUAGUUCCUUGCUAAACGGGCAUGUUUGGUAGAGGGACGUGCAUUUUGAGGCAAUCAGGAAUAGAGGCACAAACACGGGUGUGUGGCCCCCACAGGUUUUGUGGCCCGCGCGCGCGCCCCCGUGACCCGCUCACCGAGUAUUUUCCCCUUUCGGAGAGGCGCGUGCAUUCUUUUGAGCGUGCCUCGUGGGAGGGAUAGAUUUGCGCAAUUUUAUUUCCAGAGCGGGGAUUUCAUUGUAAACGCAGAUCCUCCCGUGCAGAGUCAUGUCCCUCCCCUUUGCACACACCGCCUCUCGCCCCCCGCGAGAGAAUUGUCCGGGGCUUUUUCGGGUUUCUGGCUUUUUCCCGUUUCGGGGGUCUGUCGGGGGAACUUGUGUAAACCUUAUCAUUAGAGGAAGGGAAGUCUAGAUAC
rnacentral:rRNA from 1 species